rnacentral:lncRNA from 1 species
GGGUCUGGGGCAAGAAGGCAGGAUGGUCCUUGAGAUUCCUGCCUCUUUUGAGACUCAAGACUGCACAGCAUGGAAGACAGCAUGCAUGAAGCCAACCACAGGAGAGAGUUGGUGUGUCAAGGAGGCAAGUGUACAUGGCCUAUAGCUCAUGUAGCUGGCCUGGAUCACACAUGUGGCCCCCUAAUAGCCUGGAGCUCCUGCCAGCAGGUCCUACGGGAUACAAGGAAAGUGUGCACCUUGACAGGACUGAAGGCUGGUGAGGUAGCAGUGGUGCAGAGGGGUCACUGAAGCACCCUGCCUGAACACUGGUCCUGAGCCCCUUGCUAGCCUCCAGGAACUGUGUGGGAGCCACCAUUCACCAUGCCCCUUUGCACAGGCCUGUCCUCUGGACCUUCAGCCCUAUAAGCAGCAGGUGCUCAACACUCACCUCUUUCAGAGUGGCCCAGAGAAGCUAGGCUGUGGAGUAGGUAAAGCAUCCAUUCCCACUAUGUCUGAAGACAAGAAUGGCCAUCUUCUGGGCCAUGGAGCACAGCAAACACACUAGGAUCAUCACCACCAGAGAGGUGGAGAGAGGCUGGGCUGGAGUCCUCUGAGUCCCCCUUGUGUUGCAGCUGGCUAAGCUGGAAACAGCCCUUCCUGACUAGAACAGGAGCUGCAGACACGGGAAGAAGGUGACCCAAAAGGCCCGUGUGUUCUUAAAGAGCAUAGGUCAAGGGUGUUGCUGGUCUGCUAGACAGGCUGAUGAAAAGCACUGACUUCCACAAGUGUUAUUGUACCUGCCAAAGCUGUAGGACAGCAAAACAGCUGAGCAUUGGUGCAGAUCUACCACGCAUGGGAGCUGCAGAUGAGUUGUGGGCAAAGGGUCAGUGUGAUCAGAAUGCCUGGGGGGGGGAGCUGAGCUGAGACCCCCAAACCUGACUUCUCUAGCUCCACUGCCUUUGAUGGCUUCCCUGUCUCUUAAUCUAGCAGACAGUGCAAGCCCCGCCUCUGGGCAGUGUUCAGGAGGCCGGCCAGGUUCUCAAGCCUCAAGCCAACGCCCCAGCCAUGGCCCCAGGGUAGCCUCAGACUUUCUGCCCUGCAGGGUGUCUCCCACGCAUCUCCCUGGUCCAGGACAGCAGCUCCAUCUCCUCGGCUCUCGGGAGUGGUGGUGGCCCACUGAAAGUGCUGGCUGGGCACAGGAGCGACGCAAGCCGAGGCGGGACCUCCGGACCGGGUUUCCUCUCCGAGGUCUGAGGUGGCCAGUGACACCGGUGAACCUUGUGUGUGCCACAGAUCCAGCCCCCAUGAGUGGGCUUGUGUGUGAUGUGACACGCUCAGCACCUGACCUGUCUGGCAGUGUUGGCUCAGGUCCCCAGGAUGUGAGGGGCCCUGUCACUGUCACAUGUGGACAAGGCUGCAGAAUACAGUUAUGUGCUAGGGCAUGCCCAUGUGACCCUAAGCCCGGCCCUCCUGGUGAUGAGGAUGCAGCUCAUGUGUGCAUGACUGGUGACAGGGUAUGGUGUCACAGCCCUGCGGUGCAGAGGCACUGACUGCCCAUCUCAGGUGACAUCUCCAGUAAAGCACUGUUUUCAGUUCUGUCUUCACUGUGGCCUGGGCAAAUGACCUAUGGGGGUCCCUGUCCCAAAAGGGAGAC